rnacentral:rRNA from 1 species
CACUCCUACGGGAGGCAGCAGUGGGGAAUAUUGGACAAUGGGCGCAAGCCUGAUCCAGCCAUGCCGCGUGAGUGAUGAAGGCCCUAGGGUUGUAAAGCUCUUUCACCGGUGAAGAUAAUGACGGUAACCGGAGAAGAAGCCCCGGCUAACUUCGUGCCAGCAGCCGCGGUAAUACGAAGGGGGCUAGCGUUGUUCGGAUUUACUGGGCGUAAAGCGCACGUAGGCGGACUAUUAAGUCAGGGGUGAAAUCCCGGGGCUCAACCCCGGAACUGCCUUUGAUACUGGUAGUCUUGAGUUCGAGAGAGGUGAGUGGAAUUCCGAGUGUAGAGGUGAAAUUCGUAGAUAUUCGGAGGAACACCAGUGGCGAAGGCGGCUCACUGGCUCGAUACUGACGCUGAGGUGCGAAAGCGUGGGGAGCAAACAGGAUUAGAUACCCGUGUAGUCCCAUG